rnacentral:rRNA from 1 species
CAGUCGCCGCGGGAAUACGAAGGGUGCAAGCGUUACUCGGAAUUACUGGGCGUAAAGCGUGCGUAGGUGGUGGUUUAAGUCCGUUGUGAAAGCCCUGGGCCCAACCUGGGAAUUGCAGUGGAUACUGGGCCACUAGAGUGUGGUAGAGGAUAGUGGAAUUUCCGGUGUAGCGGUGAAAUGCGUAGAUAUCGGAAGGAACACCUGUGGCGAAAGCGGCUCACUGGACCAUAACUGACGCUGAUGCACGAAAGCUAGGGGGGCAAACAGGAUUAGAUACCCCAGUAGUCCCUGUCUCUUAUAC